GGAUAGUUCAGUUGGUUGAACAUGAGACUCUUAAUCUCAGGGUUGUGAGUUUGAGCCCACAUUAGGCA
rnacentral:tRNA from 1 species